rnacentral:rRNA from 1 species
GAUGAACGCUGGCGGCGUGCUUAACACAUGCAAGUCUAACGAUUAAGCCCAGCUUGCUGGGUGGAUUAGUGGCGAACGGGUGAGUAACACGUGAGUAACCUGCCCUUAACUCUGGGAUAAGCCUGGGAAACUGGGUCUAAUACCGGAUAGGAGCGCCUACCGCAUGGUGGGUGUUGGAAAGAUUUAUCGGUUUUGGAUGGACUCGCGGCCUAUCAGCUUGUUGGUGAGGUAAUGGCUCACCAAGGCGACGACGGGUAGCCGGCCUGAGAGGGUGACCGGCCACACUGGGACUGAGACACGGCCCAGACUCCGAAGGGAGGCAGCAGUGGGGAAUAUUGCACAAUGGGCGAAAGCCUGAUGCAGCGACGCCGCGUGAGGGAUGACGGCCUUCGGGUUGUAAACCUCUUUCAGUAGGGAAGAAGCGAAAGUGACGGUACCUGCAGAAGAAGCACCGGCUAACUACGUG